CGUAGACUCAAUUUCUUUAAUCAAAUCAUUAUUUAUUAAAUAAAUGAGUGAAAGAGUACAUUCCAAAUUCUGUUUCAGAACUCUAGGUUGAAUCAUUCACUCAAUAAUUAAGACGUAGAAUGAAUGAAUAAAAGUAGGAGACAUAACCUGACAAUUAUAAUUUAUUACAUUAUAUAUUUUCAAAUAGAAUCUACUAUAUAUUAUAGACUAUAGUUGCUCCCCUCCUUUCAUGAUAGCUCCUAGGCUGAAAACAGUGUAAGGUGGAAAACUGUUGAUUAGUGUGUAGUUUUCAGUCAUGAAGAUGAUCUUUGUGUGGGUGUGUGAACUCUAUGGGACUCUAUGGACUGUAGCCCAUCAGGCUCUUCUGUCUAAGAGAUUUCCCAGGCAGGAAUACCGGAGCGGGUUGCCAUUUCCUUCUCCAGGAGAUCUUCCCGACCCAGGGAUCUUUGUGUGCUAAGUCGCUUUCAGUGGUGUCCGACUCUUUGAGACCCCAUGGACUGUAGCCCACCAGAUUCCUCUGUCCGUGGGAUUCUCCAGGCAAGAAUACUGGAGUGGGUUGCUAUUUACUUCUCCAGGGGAUCUUCCCAAUCCAGGGAUCGAACCGCAUCUGUUGCAUCUCCCGCAUUGGCAGUCAGGUUCCUCAUGACUAGCGCCACCUGGGAUCUUUAGUGAGAUACAAAAAUAAGCAAAGUUAAAACUGGAACUGUUUUAGGUCUUUACCCUGGAGCUUCUUUGGGUUCCACCAGGGGGCGCUCCAUAUCGCGUGCCUUUGCUGAGAUGUGGAGCCCACAGGAACCUCUCCUGUUAUGCAGUCACCCCUUUAGCAAAUGUACAUUGAGCUUCUACCAUGUGCCUAGAAGUUGUAGGUGCUGAGGAUACAGAGGUGAAAAGACCUGGACCUGUCCUCAAGGGACUCAGACUAGAGUGGAGACUGACAUGUAAACAAGAAAGGAUGGCACAGUGCAGCAAGGGCUAUAAUAAAGAUUCUUUACUGCCUGAGCCACCAGGAAAGCCCACAGAUAUAUGUACAUGAAGUUUCAUGUUACUAGUGAAGAAAGAAUUCAUAGGGCCUGGACUCAGUCUGAGGCCUGUCCGUGCUGAUCGUGCUCGGCUGCCUCUCCAGUGGACUCUGAACUCUGCUUAGUGCCUGUGGGAACGACAAUGGAAGGAUAAGACCCCCUCCAGACAGGGGAACCUUGAAGAUCAUAUCCAGGUUACUCAUCGCCUAAGAGAAAACAGACACUAAUCACCCCUGCCUCCGGACAGUAUCUAUCGGCAUGUAACCACAGGCUUAUCGGUUAUUAACUGGUUGGAAUGUAACCGCGGGCUUAUUGAUUAUUAACUGUUUGAACACAUAACACGUGAAUGACGGGGUUAUUGUGAUUGUAUUUACCCUUCCUUUGUAAGCCUCAAGGGAUUUGGGGUGGUGGGUUUGGACACGUACACAUGUGGUAUAAAAGAUUUCCACAAAUGCUGGUCGGGGUCCUUGGCUAAGAGGAGACUCUGCUUUGGGCCCACCGGUGUAAUAAACUGC
rnacentral:lncRNA from 1 species